rnacentral:rRNA from 1 species
GACGAACGCUGGCGGCGUGCCUAACACAUGCAAGUCGAACGGAGAUAAGCGCUGAUGAAGUAGCUUGCUAUUGAUUCUUGUUUAUCUUAGUGGCGGACGGGUGAGUAACGCGUGAGCAACCUGCCUUUCAGAGGGGGAUAACGUCUUGAAAAGGACGCUAAUACCGCAUGACAUCACGACUCCACAUGGAGAUGUGAUCAAAGGAGCAAUCCGCUGAAAGAUGGGGCUCGCGUCCGAUUAGAUAGUUGGCGGGGUAACGGCCCACCAAGUCGACGAUCGGUAGCCGGACUGAGAGGUUGAACGGCCACAUUGGGACUGAGACACGGCCCAGGACUCCUACGGGAGGCAG